rnacentral:rRNA from 1 species
CCUACGGGUGGCAGCAGUGAGGAAUAUUGGUCAAUGGACGAGAGUCUGAACCAGCCAAGUAGCGUGAAGGAUGACUGCCCUAUGGGUUGUAAACUUCUUUUAUAUGGGAAUAAAACGUUCCACGUGUGGGAUUUUGUAUGUACCAUAUGAAUAAGGAUCGGCUAACUCCGUGCCAGCAGCCGCGGUAAUACGGAGGAUCCGAGCGUUAUCCGGAUUUAUUGGGUUUAAAGGGAGCGUAGGUGGAUUGUUAAGUCAGUUGUGAAAGUUUGUGGCUCAACCGUAAAAUUGCAGUUGAAACUGGCAGUCUUGAGUACAGUAGAGGUGGGCGGAAUUCGUGGUGUAGCGGUGAAAUGCUUAGAUAUCACGAAGAACUCCGAGUGCGAAGGCAGUUCACUGGACUGCAACUGACACUGAGGCUCGAAAGUGUGGGUAUCAAACAGGAUUAGAUACCCUAGUAGUC